UAGUCCGACUAAUCAGUUGCUACAUUGUAUAUUGUACGAUGAAUUUUGUGUGUGUUUUCUUCAUGUGCUUAAUCGCCGUUUUUUUGGGAAUAGGAGCUGAUAAAGACACAGGUCCGAUGGCAGAUGCCAGAGCGUCCCUUGGACUUAAAGUGGAUUUCAAUAAUUGUCAGCAUCUCGGAAGAUCGUGUGGUAUGACUCGUGACAGUGUGAACAAUCCAACCAAAAUGGUUUUUACACCGUGCUGCAAAUACUUGGACUGUAUAGGCAUUACACCAAACAUAAAUGCAAUACCAUUUACAUUUCCAGAACUGAUAAUCUCACAACUAUCUGGCAAACCUCCAGAUAAUACGGUAUAUACCGGAGCAUGCACCCUCGGUUUAAGUUAUAACCAAGCUUAUAUUGAUGCUGAUGCGUACAAAGCAUACCUUACAGGUCUCGAUAAAAUUGAUUAAAAUUUAAGUCUUGCGAAUCAGUUUCUUUCAAGCAACGUAGAACACUGUAAAGCUGUUUCAAUUGAAAUAAAUAAUUUACAAUUUA